rnacentral:misc_RNA from 1 species
UUUCCGUAGGUGAACCUGCGGAAGGAUCAUUAUUGUAUAACCGAGGUGCGAGGGCUGUCGCUGAUCCGGAAGGUCGUGCACGCCCGAGUGCCCUCAUACAUAUCCAUCACACCCCUACUAGCUACACCGCGGGGGUCCCCCUAUGGCUUGUUCGGAGGGGGGCUUCCGUAUUCACACAACCUAAGUAGGCCGUGUAGAAUGUAUUUUUUGGUUUUUCGAACACGCAAGCAAGACCACUUUACUCAACGGAACUCUUGGCUCUUGAAUCGAUGAAGAACG